rnacentral:rRNA from 1 species
AUGACCAUCGUCCUGCCACCAGUCCCAGACACGAGCAUCCAUGGCGACGGCUGCACCUUCACAUAUUACCAUCAUGAGAUCCUACUCAGCCGCAACGCCUAUGGCCUGUCCUACUUCUGUCUGGCAAUAGCAUAUAGAAACCAGAAGAUCAUCGUGGAUGUGUAUGUGCUACGGGACGACAUCUGGGCCAUAUACUCUUCGGCUGCCGUAAGCCAAGGCCCUGAAAUUAAACUGUAUAAACCUACUUUGCUUGCCGGCGGGAAGCUCUAUAACCUGAUCUUUGGGAGAAGCAAUCCAUAUAAGUUGCUCUUGCUAGAUCUUGAGUCGUCAUGUUUGUCGCUGGUUAAUCUCCCAGACGAAGAAGUGGAGGCCUGGAACGUCAAGCUGUCGCUCGCACAUGAUUCUGAGCUUCACCUCAUGCACGUAGAUGUAGAUACCUCUCAGCUUCGCAUCUGGCUCCACAAGAUGGAUAGCACUGGCGCCACAAUCUGGUCCCUUGUGAAUACCGUCUGUUUGCGUGAGAUAUGUGCUAAUCAUAUGAUACCGACUCGGGUGUUCGAGGAUUUUGGUGAUUCUAUUCUUACGCUACAUGCAGCAGUUGGGGCCGGCUCCGAGUUUGUUUUCAUUGAAAUCGAGAGUGUUCUAUACCUGUUUGAUAUUAAACACAAGGCCGCAAAGAAGGUUUACGAGACAACAAGACAGGAUGAACGCUUGUGUAGUGUCAUUCCCUUUAUGAUGCCAUGGCCUCCUAAUUUCCCUUUGAUGAAGGAGUUGUUUAUAUGA